ACAAAGAAAAGAAGGAACAACAAUCGUGCCAAAAAGGGGCGCAGCCACAUGCAGCCUAUUCGUUGCACAAACUGUGCCUGACGCGUGCCCAAGGACAAGGCCAUUAAGAAAUUCAUCAUUCGAGGCUGGGCACGGUGGCUAACGCCUGUAAUCCCAGCACUUCGGGAGGCUGAGGCAGGCGGAUCACGAGGUCAGGAGAUCGAGACCAUCCUGACUAACACAGUGAAACCCCGUCUCUACUAAAAUAAAAAAAUUAGCGGGUCGUGGUGGCGGGCCCCUGUAGUCCCAGCUACUCGGGAGGCUGAGGGAGGAGAAUGGUGUGAACCUGGGAGGUGGAGCUUGCAGUGAGCCCAGAUCCCGCCACUGCACUCCAGCCUGGGCAACAGAGUGAGACUCUGUCUCAAAAAAAAAAAAAAAGAAAUUAAUUCAUCAUUCGAAAUGUGGUGGAGGCUGCAGCAGUCAGGGACAUUUCUGAAGCGAGUGUCUUCAAUGCCUAUGUGCUUCCCAAGCUGUAUGGGAAGCUAAAUUACUGUGUGAGAUGUGCAAUUCACAGAAAAGUCAUCAGGAAUCCACCUUGUAAAGCCCACAAGGACCAAACACACCCACCCCGAUUUAGACCUUCGAGGAGUGCUGCCCCACAACCCCCACCAAAGCCCA
rnacentral:lncRNA from 1 species